ensembl:lncRNA KCNQ5-AS1 KCNQ5 antisense RNA 1
GUGAAAGUGGAAAAGAAACAGUGGGAGGAAUGAGAGGCAAGAAGCAGCGGGUAGCACUUUUCUCGGUAUCAAAGAGACGUGAAACUAGGCUACUUAAUUUUUUUUCUUGUAAAAAAAGAACUUCCAGUUUCCCAAGACGCAACAUUGAAUUCAAUCAGAGGUAAAGAUUCUGGACUAUUGGAUUAAAUGAGGAGGCAGGAGCUACUAUCUCUUGCAGUGUGAAACCAGGGCCGGGGAUGAAGAUAUGGACACAUCUCAGCUUUCCAGGGAUGCUGUGAUGUGGGUGAGCAUGAGCUUUGUCUAUGGGCUGAAUUGCAUCCCUCCAAAAUUCAUAUGUUAUGGUCCUAACCCCUAGUACCUCCGAAUGCGACUGUUUGGAGAUAGGGUCUUUAGAGAUGUUAUUAAAUUAAAAUGAGGUUAUUAGAGUGGCUCCUAAUCCAAUAUGAUUGGUAUCCUUAUAAGUAGAGGAAAUUUGCACAUGGCUGGGUACAGAGAAAAGUCUAUGUAAAGACUCAGGGAGAAGACCAUCUAAAGCCAAGAAGAAAGCCUUCAGAAGGAACCAACCCUGCUGACACCUUAAACUUGGCCUUCUAGCCUCUAGACUGUGAGAAAAUAAAUUUUUGUUGUUUAAGGCAUCUAGUACUUUGUUAUAGCAGCUUGAGCAAACUAAUACAAGUUCCAUUUGUAGUAGAAGCUAUUAAACAUCAUUACAUAGUCUAUGUCUGCACUCAACAAAGACUGGUUCCCACCAUUAAGACAAGCUGCUCCUUCUACCACUUGGGAGGAAAUCAGCUUAAGGAAAGGUGUUAGAAAUAUUAGGAAAUACAGAUUAAAAAAUGAAGAAACAAAAUAUAACUGUGAUCUCACCACUCAAAGAAAGGAUGUACCCAUUUAUAUUCAGCAAGCCUAUUUUGAGUGCAACAUAAAGCCCUGUCACUGGUAACUCUUGACUCAGCUGCUCAAGGGCUUUCAGCCAAAAUCCUAGGAGGAGAGUGAGGAAACUAGAGGACACUGAAAAGCUGUGCCACAAGUGACUCAGAUCCUGCAAGUGGCUCGAUGGAGGAGUGUCCCGUGUUGGUGGCGGAGGUUUUUCCUUCCUUA